AUUGAACGCUGGCGGCAUGCCUUACACAUGCAAGUCGAACGGCAGCGACGGGGGCAACCCUGGUGGCGAGUGGCGAACGGGUGAGUAACACAUCGGAACGUGCCCAGUAGUGGGGGAUAGCUCGGCGAAAGCCGGAUUAAUACCGCAUACGACCUACGGGUGAAAGCGGGGGAUCGCAAGACCUCGCGCUAUUGGAGCGGCCGAUGUCAGAUUAGGUUGUUGGUGGGGUAAAGGCCUACCAAGCCGACGAUCUGUAGCUGGUCUGAGAGGACGACCAGCCACACUGGGACUGAGACACGGCCCAGACUCCUACGGGAGGCAGCAGUGGGGAAUUUUGGACAAUGGGCGCAAGCCUGAUCCAGCCAUGCCGCGUGCGGGAAGAAGGCC
rnacentral:rRNA from 1 species